GCCGGCGUAGCUCAGUUGGCAGAGCAACUGAUUUGUAAUCAGUAGGUCGGGAGUUCGAAUCUCUCCGCCGGCACCA
rnacentral:tRNA from 1 species